rnacentral:rRNA from 1 species
AUUGAACGCUGGCGGCAGGCCUAACACAUGCAAGUCGAGCGAGCGGCGGACGGGUGAGUAAUGUAUGGGGACUGCCCGAUAGAGGGGGAUAACUACUGGAAACGGUGGCUAAUACCGCAUACUGUCGGAUAACCCAUAUGGGAUUAGCUAGUAGGUAAGGUAAUGGCUUACCUAGGCGACGAUCCCUAGCUGGUCUGAGAGGAUGAUCAGCCACACUGGGACUGAGACACGGCCCAGACUCCUACGGAGGCAGCAGUGGGGAAUAUUGCACAAUGGGCGGAAGCCUGAUGCAGCGACGCCGCGUGGGGGAUGAAGGCCUUCGGGUUGUAAACUCCUUUCGACAGGGACGCGGUACCUGUAUAAGAAGCACCGGCUAACUACGUGCCAGCAGCCGCGGUAAUAC